rnacentral:rRNA from 1 species
UAGUUUUUUUAGAAAUAAAUUUAAUUUACAAAUUUUUAAUUUUUAAUUUAUUUAUUAAAAUUAAAAAAUUAUUAAUUUGAAUAUUUUAAGGGAUAAGCUUUAAAAUAAAGUAUUAAAAAUAUUAAAUAAUUAAUUAAAAAUGUAUGUGUAGAAUUAGCAAUCAUUUGUAAAUUUGUUAUAAAUUAUUUUAUAAAGGUUAUUAUUUAGUUUUAUUUUAAUUUAUUUAUAAAAAUUUUUUUAUUAAUUUUUAAUAAAAAAUAAUAAUGAUUUAAUUAGUAUAUAUAAAUGUUGUUUAAGUAUUUUUAUUUGAAAAGUUUAUAUAAAGAACUCGGCAAAUUUAUAAAUUAUAUAUUUAUACUCGCCUGUUUAACAAAAACAUGUCUUUUUGAACUAUAUUUAAAGUCUAACCUGCCCACUGAAUAAAUUUAAAUGGCCGCAGUAUUUUGACUGUGCAAAGGUAGCAUAAUCAUUAGUCUUUUAAUUGAAGGCUGGUAUGAACGGUUGGACGAAGUAUAAGCUGUUUCAUAUAAAUUUAUUAUAGAAUUUUAUAUUUUAGUUAAAAAGCUAAAAUUUUAUUAAAAGACGAGAAGACCCUAUAAAUCUUUAUAUUUUAUAUUGUUUAAAUUUUUUAGAUUUAUUUUAUUUUUAUUAUAUAAAAUAUUUUGUUGGGGUGAUAUUAAAAUUUAAUGAACUUUUAAUUAUUUAAAAUCAUUAAUUUAUGAGUUAUUGAUCCAUUAAUAUUGAUUAUAAGAUUAAGUUACUUUAGGGAUAACAGCGUAAUUUUUUUUGAGAGUUCAUAUCGACAAAAAAGUUUGCGACCUCGAUGUUGGAUUAAGGUAUAAUUUUGGGUGUAGCUGUUCAAAUAUUAAGUCUGUUCGACUUUUA